rnacentral:rRNA from 1 species
CCUACGGGAGGCAGCAGUGGGGAAUAUUGCACAAUGGGGGAAACCCUGAUGCAGCGACGCCGCGUGAGUGAAGAAGUAAUUCGUUAUGUAAAGCUCUAUCAGCAGGGAAGAAAAUGACGGUACUUGAGUAAGAAGCCCCGGCGAAUUACGAGCCAGCAGCCGCGGUAAUACGAAGGGGGCAAGCGGUAUCCGGAUGUACGGGGUGUAAAGGGAGCGUAGAUGGCAGUGCAAGUCUGGAGUGAAAGGCGGGGGCUCAACCGGGGGACGGCUCUGGAAACUGUACGGCUGGAGUGCAGGAGAGGAGAGUGGAAUUCCUGGUGUAGCGGUGAAAUGCGUAGAUAUUAGGAGGAACACCAGUGGCGAAGGCGGCUUACUGGACUGUAACUGACGCUGAGGCUCGAAAGCGUGGGGAGCAAACAGGAUUAGAUACCCGUGUAGUC